UACGGGGGGGGCUAGCGUUGUUCGGAAUUACUGGGCGUAAAGGGCGCGUAGGCGGCCUACUAAGUCGGACGUGAAAUCCCUCGGCUCAACCGGGGAACUGCGUCCGAUACUGGUGGGCUCGAAUCCGGGAGAGGGAUGUGGAAUUCCGGGUGUAGCGGUGGAAUGCGUAGAGAUCCGGAAGAACACCGGUGGCGAAGGCGGUCUGCUGGGCAGUUGCUGACACUGAUGCGCGACAGCGUGGGGAGCAAACAGG
rnacentral:rRNA from 1 species